AAACGGAACCCUUAUGGAUUCGUCAUGUCUGUCUGUCCGUCUGUAUAUUACAGCAACUUUUUUCCGACACUAUAAGAACUAUACUGUUGAAACUUGGUACGUAGAUGUAUUCUGUGAACCGCAUUGAGAUUUUCACACAAAAAUAGAAAAAAAACAACAAAUUUUGGGGGUUCCCCAUACUUAGAACUGAAACUCAAAUUUUUUUUUUCAUCAUACGUAUGGACGUGUCUUCAAAAAUGAUAUUGAGGUUUCUAAUAUUUUUUUUUUCUAAACUGAAUAGUUUGCGCGAGAGACACUUCCAAAGUG